GGGUUGUGAGGUUAAGCGACUAAGCGUACACGGUGGAUGCCCUGGCAGUCAGAGGCGAUGAAGGGCGUGCUAAUCUGCGAUAAGCGCCGGUAAGGUGAUAUGAACCGUUAUAACCGGCGAUACCCGAAUGGGGAAACCCAGUGUGAUUCGUCACACUAUCAUUAACUGAAUCCAUAGGUUAAUGAGGCGAACCGGGGGAACUGAAACAUCUAAGUACCCCGAGGAAAAGAAAUCAACCGAGAUUCCCCCAGUAGCGGCGAGCGAACGGGGAGGAGCCCAGAGCCUGAAUCAGCAUGUGUGUUAGUGGAAGCGUCUGGAAAGGCGCGCGAUACAGGGUGACAGCCCCGUACACAAAAGCGCAUGUGCUGUGAGCUCGAUGAGUAGGGCGGGACACGUGGUAUCCUGUCUGAAUAUGGGGGGACCAUCCUCCAAGGCUAAAUACUCCUGACUGACCGAUAGUGAACCAGUACCGUGAGGGAAAGGCGAAAAGAACCCCGGCGAGGGGAGUGAAAAAGAACCUGAAACCGUGUACGUACAAGCAGUGGGAGCACAGGUUUACCUGUGUGACUGCGUACCUUUUGUAUAAUGGGUCAGCGACUUAUAUUCUGUAGCAAGGUUAACCGAAUAGGGGAGCCGGAGGGAAACCGAGUCUUAAUUGGGCGUUAAGUUGCAGGGUAUAGACCCGAAACCCGGUGAUCUAGCCAUGGGCAGGUUGAAGGUUGGGUAACACUAACUGGAGGACCGAACCGACUAAUGUUGAAAAAUUAGCGGAUGACCUGUGGCUGGGGGUGAAAGGCCAAUCAAACCGGGAGAUAGCUGGUUCUCCCCGAAAGCUAUUUAGGUAGCGCCUCGUGAAUUCAUCUCCGGGGGUAGAGCACUGUUUCGGCUAGGGGGCCAUCCCGGCUUACCAACCCGAUGCAAACUGCGAAUACCGGAGAAUGUUAUCACGGGAGACACACGGCGGGUGCUAACGUCCGUCGUGAAGAGGGAAACAACCCAGACCGCCAGCUAAGGUCCCAAAGUCAUGGUUAAGUGGGAAACGAUGUGGGAAGGCCCAGACAGCCAGGAUGUUGGCUUAGAAGCAGCCAUCAUUUAAAGAAAGCGUAAUAGCUCACUGGUCGAGUCGGCCUGCGCGGAAGAUGUAACGGGGCUAAACCAUGCACCGAAGCUGCGGCAGCGAACGUAUCACUUAAAGCGAUUCAGCGGGUUACGAUUGACGGAGCGAAGCGACGUCAAAGCGUAUACAAAGUCGAGUCGGUUUAAGGAUACGUUCGUUGGGUAGGGGAGCGUUCUGUAAGCCUGUGAAGGUGGCCUGUGAGGGUUGCUGGAGGUAUCAGAAGUGCGAAUGCUGACAUAAGUAACGA
rnacentral:rRNA from 1 species